GAAAUAAGAUAUCCAAGAAAAAGUUUCUAACUUUAAACUUUAGCAGUGAAAAUCUGUUAUUAUUUCU
rnacentral:tRNA from 1 species